AAAAAUUCAAUGCAACUCAAAACCUUUUUCCAAGUCUUUGCUGGCUCCACAAAGCACGUGUACUAGAAUGCUUGCUUGUGUUCAGUUUCAUUCAACUGCAAGUUGCAUGUUAUAGCGCCACACGGCUCAUAAUGUUUAAACUGCAUUUGUAUUGUUCAGAUUACUCGAGAGUGUUCUUUGGAAGCUAUUGUGUUUUUUCUUUUCAUAAUUCUCCAAUACUGCAUAUGUAACCCUCAAAUAAUUUGACAAGAAAAUUUGUUUAUUAGUCUUCCUCAUCGUUGUAUCAUCCCCAGCUUUUGUCUUCUUCUCAAAUAGCAAUGGAUAUAAACUAAGGAUGAACUAGCAAGAAGAUAAUAAUAAUAACAAGUUGCCUUCGGCCUGGAAGGGCAACAACUUAAACAAAUGAUAUUCUUCUUGUUCCAUGGACAUUUUAGUAUGGACGUUUUGUUAAUGUGAAUCAUUUUAGAGAUAAUUAUAUCAAUACAAUACUAAAAGGGGAAUAAGAGCUCCUCUCAUGCUGUCCACAUCAGCAAAUAAAAUCAACCAAUGAGAGACUUCUAAACUGACAAGUCAAUUAAAAAAAAAACACAUCACCAAAUCACUCUUCGCUCGAACCUUUUCAACGCCACGCCGAUUCCAAUAUUUCUUUGGUCUUCUUCCGGUUUGUCUGCCUUUGCCAAAACAACUCUUUCACCAGUUACAAAUUAUUUAUUCCUUAAUCUUUUCAGCUUUCCUCCUCUCCUUACUCACUAUAUGAGACGUAGGUAGAUUCACGAAAGAUUCUUCUCACUAGAACCAGCAGAUCUCUUCAUCGCCUCUGGAGAAAACGAGUAGUUAGUACUGGCGUUUGGUUUUGGUUCCAUCACUUUACCUCUGUAUACAGUUUUCUGUAAAAAUAUUUACUCCUUCAUAUUUGGUAAGUCACACAACGCCUUGCUCCUGUACGUACAAAGCAUCACUUAACAUCUGUACAGUUUUCUUUGAAAAGCGUUCGUGGGAGUUGUAUGUGAUCUCUUUUUGUUUGUCUUUUAUCAUAUUGUGAGAUUGUUAGGAACGAAGAAGAAGAAGCCGUUGAAAGAAUUGAGGGAGAUGGAGGAGUUCGAGUUCCAUAACUGGUGGAGCUUACGGUUGAGAAUUCUAUGAUUACGGUUAAUGUUUCCCACUUUUGAUUCAUGAUUUCACUUCCUCUGUUUCAGAUCGUUGGUUUUGUUUUUGAAAGCUCUUGAUCUGGUGUUUAGAUUGUUGGAGGUGUAAAAGGAGGAGAAUGAGCUUUACAGGAGAGGAUUCGCCAUCUGGUUUGUCAGGUUUUGUAAUUCUCAAUCUUAGUUUUGAUAAAUAAAACAAUCCAAACCGAGUUUGAGCAGUUCAAUUUCAGUUUGUUUGCUUUGUUUCUCUUAUAAAAGCUGUGGUAUUUUGUAGAGUUUGUUAUACUUAUAGCUUUAAAGUUUUUGGUCUCUAAUUUCAAAAUUUGCAUUUAUACAACUAUUGACCUCUAAACGCAUCAGAACCAUACCAUUUGUUUCUUUUCCCUUCCUUCUACCCUUACGUUAUCUAUUUUUACGUGUUUCAGGGACCAACUGAAAAUGGGAAAUUGAUGCUCAAUAUAUAUAUCUGCAUAGCGCAAGAACGAGCAAGCCCGGCUUCAUCUGGUCAUCACUUUGUCUUCCAAUGCUAUGAUCAUUUCCAAGGUAUAACCUUUGCUUCAAUCUGAGAGUCGACGCCAUCACAUGUAGCAUUACAUGAGUCAUCCCUGGUAUCGUCCCGUUAUCUAGAAAAGUUACUUUGUUUAAUUUAAACUGAUUUGUGUGAUUUUGUAGUUAAUUUUUUUUUCUUAUCCUUAUAGCUCACACUUUGGUAUGUUGACGAGUUUAUCUUCCGUGAAUUCUUUUAUUGAUUCUUUCAAUGGUGUUCGUAUGUUAUUCUUUACGUUCGUCCCCUGCAGCUAAUGAUGGCUUUGACUGUUCACUUAGUGAACUGAAGCAAAAGAAUAAGCCAGUUGAACCAAGCUCAUUGAAUAAGUCUCGCUGCUGCAGAAGAUUUGGAUGAGCAUGCUAAUGAAGAUUAAAUUAUUUGGCAGCAGCAAUGUCACCCCUGUGAGGGAAGUUAAAUAUAUGACGGUGGAGUAGAUGGUUUUUUUGCAUUAAACCAUCGGUUAUUUGAUGAUGUUCUCUCAUUAUCAAAAACCUGUUAGCAGAUUGAUUUUUGAUGUGAUGUCUAUUUGCAGCUUCUUAGUAGAGUCUUUAACAUUCUCCAUGAAAAAAAAUCCAGAGCUUGCUGGAGAUAGGUGCUGUACAGUUAUCAGGCCUCCUUAAGUUCUUUGCAGGGGACAAAAAGAAGAGUAUGUUUGCCAACUUUAUGGACCUCUUCAAAAAGUAUGAACAAAUCUCUUUUAUCUUCCUCUUCAAGCUUGAUCGACCGUAAGUAUUCAUGCCUAUUGCCUAGGGGGAUUUAAGAUUGUAUGGCAUUUCUGUCUAUCUCUGCUAAACAAAAAAAAUUCAGGAUGACUCAUAAACCAGGCCAUGUAAUGAAUUUCUUGCAUGAUGGGCGGCAACUGUUGGUUGUUAAGGGAAGAUAUGCAGCCAAGAAUUCCGAAGAGAUCUUGCUGCCAUAUCAGCAAGUAACUUUCUCUUUUUGUCACUUCCUAUCAAGUUUUGAAAUUUGAAUUUGCAUAAACGAAUACCAGGUUGGAGUUCUUUGUGAAACCUUGCAUGUGGUUUUCUUAAAUGAGUACGUCAUUUGCUUUGGUAGCGAGAGCCAGUACAUGAUUCUAUAGAAGGAGAACAAUCACUUCUUUGUCAGCUGCGGGUAGGUUUCAUUCAUUACUUUGUCAUGCAUGCCUUUGUUUCUUCCUUUCAGCGCAACUAAGUAAUCAUGAAUUGCUUCCAGAUCCUAAAGGACUGUUUCUUAACUCGUGGGCAGCGAGAUGGUUUAAAACUUUAAGUUCAUUGACAAAAACGCAUAAGAAAUAUACAAUUUAUGUAUAGAAAUAUUAUAUUCUAGAGAUUACAAUAAGUAAAAACUGUAUUACAUCGCCCUGCAUAAGAUGUAAGAGCGGUGAGCGGAGUAGAGGAAAACAAAAUAAUAGACAUAUAUAUCAAAGACCUCUCCUUUCAUGUUUAUACUACGGCAACAUAUAUAUAUAUAAAUUUCAACUACAUCCAAAUCAUCUACAUCAUAAAUUUUAUAGCUAAACUUAUAUAGUUACAGUCCAAUCAGUUAUCUGUAUUCUCUGUAGAACCUCAACUCUUC